rnacentral:piRNA from 1 species
GCCAUCUGUAGAUAAUCGAAUACG